AGCCUAGCGGUUAAGGCUAUGGAUCGCCAAUCCGGAGACGGCGGGUUCGAUUCCCGU
rnacentral:tRNA from 1 species